GGGGUAUUGGUGGUUUCUGGAUCCUUCCACCAGGAUUUUCAGCGCUGGGUAGCUUGCCUUUCUGUAGUGUGGAGGAACGCUGGGCAGGAGCGGCGCCGAGAUCAUGGGGCCAAAGAUGUGUGGUCUGUUAUGAGAGGUUCAGGGAUUCGAUCGGAGAUGUAAAAGACACUUUCCACUCCAAACAAAUGGACUGAAGAAGAAUUCUCUGCUUCCCCAGAAGAUGAGGCAGGGAGCAGCUGGGACCGGGUUCUGACCAAGGAAGGAAGGAUGCUGAGGGCACAGCUGACUCCCCUCCACUGAAUCCUUCCCCUGAUCCGUGGCCCUGAUGGGGCAACAGCGCUGGGGACUCCUGCAGGUGACAACGCUCAAGUGUUUGCCCACAGUAUUACAUUUCUUAUGGUUUAGUGGUUAAAACGGGGGGCUAGCUGUCAGUUUUUCAGACAAUUUCAUUUGCAGAAAUGUCUGUGGACAAAGAAGUUUGUUUUCUUCAUCUCUGAUUUUUAAA